GGAGGGAAUGUGCGGUCCGGGCAUGUCGGUGCUUUAUGCCAAUGAGGUAAUGAAUGUUCGUUACAGCGUCCGUCUUCACACACGUUGCUGGAAACAGAAUAAUCCACAGCUGGAGGCGGAAGAACGUGUCGUCACGUCCAUCGACAUCUGAUUGCUUUUAUUUUACAAAAGAGAAAAAAGAAGAAAAUGCCAAUUUCAGAUCUCAUUUGUUUCCUUCCCGCUGAUCCGAUUCACACGAAGGCCUUUAUUCUCCACGUCCGCCAGCAGGACGGAGGGUUUGAAUGUAUUUCCAUAAAAUACUUCAGGUUGAAAUAUAUAUAAAAUAUAUGUUUUAUUCCCUCUGACCCUUUGCAUAACCCUUAGAAUAAAAACAAGCACUUUCAGACUCACAUUGACCCGAGCGAUGACACUCAGUGUUUGAAGAAGCCUUUAAAGUGAUCAAAUUAAGUUGAAAGUAAAGUGAUAAGAAGUAUAAGAACUAUUUUGGACGAGAGUCUUGUGGAGGUUUUAACGAAAACCUGCGUUUUGGAGGAACUUUUAUUAUUCACGAUUUAUUUGAGUGGUUUUCUUCUUUGACAGAAACAGGCUGUGCAGCUGCUUGGAGCGCAAUUUCUUCAACCAGAUAACCAGUCCAGGGACCCCCGGCCCCCGCUUCGUGCGCUCCCCUCUCAGCGUGCUGAUUCGCUUAAAGGACUCGGCGACCCAGAAGGUAUCUGCUUUGUGAAAGGGCCGAAAAAAGCCGCGCUGCCCAACCGGGAAUACGAGGGAUUCAAAUGCUUACGAGCGGCGUGGAGAGGCAGACGAGCAUGCCGACGGAAGCCUUUCGCCGGGCCAUGCUGUGCACAAUCACACCAGGGAGGAGAGAUUCAGUUCCAUAUAUGAGGCCCGCGUGCAGACGCGGUGCGCGCAUGCCCAUUUUUAGACUCCGUUCUGUGGAGCUCGGCCACGACGACCCAACUAGGAGUUGUUUACAGAAGCUCUCUGGUGCUGAUUCAACGCAGACGUACGUCCCCCCCCCCGCCGCCGCCACAAAAAUGGCACCAAACAACCUCUACCACAUAGAAUAGAAUUAUAGAAUGGAAGGAUUUGUAAAGCACCGAGUUGCUGAAAAAGGCUGAAAUGGGUCCCCAGCGGACGCACUGGACUCAAAAGUCACCGCAGCCAACUGUCGGCCCGAAGCUGAAACGACAUCGCGAAGAUUUUAACGCCUCUAUUUAUUAUGUAGAGGCUUGUUUGACAGAGUUUUGGAGACUUGACGUACAUCCUGGCUGAAGAGAACUCCAACCACAACACACAUUCUCUCCAUUAGAGGCCCAUAACACGGCCCCAUAAACAUGGAGCGAGCCGAGUGGCGGAUCCGUUACAUAACAGCAGAAACAGGCCAAAGCUUGAAUCAUCAAUGUCGCUUUCUUUCUCCAGCAGAGCAUCAAGACGCAUACCUCCACUUUCCCUCACACACUUCUGUAUUACAUGUAUAUAUUGUAUGUUUGGUAUUUUCUUUGUCUCCUAAAAUAAUAAUACAAAUACAUGCUUUAAUGAUAAUUUUGAAUGAACCUCUAUUCACCAUAAACAAGCCAACGGAUCAUAAUGGUACUUUCUGAAUUAUUUGCUGCUCAUUCACAGAUGGUAAAUGUACUUCUGGAAGGUGGACAAUAAUAUUGUAUUGUUUGCUAUUCUCUUUUCUGCUCAAUGGACCCAAACCUUCUGCAGCACAGAGAGAGCAAAAGGUUUCAUACAUCACUUUAACACGUUGUAAUUAUGUAGAUGAAGAUGGAGGGCGAACGAAAUGGAACUAAAGGGGAAAUCCAAUGUGUGCAAAGCAGGGAUGCAACACAUGAGCCCUUCCUCUGCCUAAUGGCACCGGCCAGUCAGCCAGUCCGGGUCACUGAGUCCCAGUUGCCGACGCCGAGGCCCCCCAUACCUCCACCCCCCCGGACCCCCCUCGCCCCUCGGCCCGCCUCCGCAGGAAACAAGUCCCCGAAGCCUCGUGCUCCUCUCCGGGCCUCAGACAUGUGUAAUUAGGUAUAAAAUACAGCCGUGUCGGAGGGCGGGGAGGGACCGGGGC
ensembl:lncRNA